AUUGAACGCUGGCGGCAUGCCUUACACAUGCAAGUCGAACGGCAGCACGGGAGCAAUCCUGGUGGAGAGCGGCGCACGGGUGAGUAAUGUAUCGGAACGUGCCCAGUCGUGGGGGAUAACGUAGCGAAAGCUAAGCUAAUACCGCAUACGAUCGAAGGAUGAAAGCGGGGGACCGUAAGGCCUCGCGCGAUUGGAGCGGCCUAUAUCAGAUUAGGUAGUUGGUGGGGUAAAGGCCUACCAAGCCGACGAUCUGUAGCUGGUCUGAGAGCACGGACAGCCACACUGGGACUGAGACACGGCCCAGACUCCUACGGGAGGCAGCAGUGGGGAAUUUUCGACAAUGGGCGCAAGCCUGAUCCAGCAAUGCCGCGUGCAGGAUGAAGGCCUUCGGGUUGUAAACUGCUUUUGUACGGAGCGAAAAGGCUCUCUCUAAUACAGGGGGCUCAUGACGGUACCGUAAGAAUAAGCACCGGCUAACUACGUGCCAGCCGCCGCAGUAACAC
rnacentral:rRNA from 1 species